rnacentral:tRNA from 1 species
GGCUCUGUGGUGCAAUUGAUAGCGCAUUGGACUUCUAAUUCAAAGGUUGUGGGUUCGAGUCCCAUCAGAGUCA